rnacentral:lncRNA from 10 species
CACGCCUGUAAUCCCAGCACUUUGGGAAGCCGAGGUGGGCGGAUCACCUGAGGUCAGGAGUUCAAGACCAGCUUGGCCAACAUGGUGAAACCCCGCCUCUACUAAAAAUACAAAAAAUUAGCCGGGCGUGGUGGCAGACGCCUGUAAUCCCAGCUACUCGGGAGGCUGAGGCAGGAGAAUCGUUUGAUUCUGGGAGGCGGAAAACCUCUGAUUCCUUCCAGCCCUAGACCUCAAAUGUUAGAAAAGGAAGGACGUCAUUGAGAAGUCCUCAGGAGGGAAACUGAGGCCCAAAGAGAGGAAGUGAAUCCCACAGCUGGUCUGUCAGACCUGAUGUCUGACGGCCUCUCUCUGUCUGUCUGUCUCUCUGUCUCUCUGCCUGUGUGUUGUUCUUACCUCGUUACCCUCUGGGUCUCUCUCUAAAUCUGUCUGUCUCCCCAUAUUUUGGCCUCUGACCUCUGUCUUUGUCUUCUGUCUCAUUUUUUUGUUUUUUUCAAUCCUGUUCCUUUUGUAUGUCUCAUGUAUGAUCUGUCUCCGUUUCUCUGUCUCUCUCUGUCUCUGUGCCUUUCCUUAUUUUGCAAAGUCACAUGACGCCCCUGCUCAGAGCCCUCCUACAGCUUCCAUUUCUCUCGGAGGAGAAGCCCAGACUCCUCAUCAGGGUCCACCCCAUGCUGGCCAAUCUCACCUCCUCCCACUUUCCUCCUCCCCCUCCACUCCACCCCACCCCCUUUGCUGCUUUCCAGACCCACCAGGGACUAUCCCACCUGGGGCCCUGCACUUGCUGUGGCUGGUCCCACUCAGAGUGGGAGCCCUCAUGUCUUCACCCACUGUCACCUUCAGAGAGCAGCCCUGACUGACCACCUCUGUGAAAUGUCAUAGCUCCUCCUACGCGCACCUUUCUUGCUUUAUGUUUCUUCUUGCUGUCUAUCAGCGUCUGAGGAACUAUAUCAUAUUCUACUUAUUUAUCUUGCUUACUUUCUUUCUU